CUCUUUCAUCUGCUGCUUCUCUAUUCUGAUUUUUUCACACUCAAGAAAUUCUUCGUAAACCAUUUGAGCCGACUCUUCAGGUACAAUUAUACCUGUAGUAACUGGAAUCGCACGAUGUUUACGAAAUUCAAACCCUGUAACUGCAUCCGCAUAAUCAAUGUUGAGUUUCUUGGCAAUUUUAGCAAUUCCUCGAUAUGGCAAAUGUGCUGCGCCCUUGGGGAUCAUGCUCUCAACAAAACAAUCCAUAUUACCAUAACCGUUCUUAGGAAUAAUACCAUCUUUGAUUGGAGGCGGAACAUAUAGCUCAGUUUGAUCGGAAGAAUAUAGACCCUGAAGCACUGGUUCAUUUGUUUCAGCAACCCGAAAUUCGUGUUCACGCUUCCUGCUAAUUGUGACGGCUCUCGCCUUCACCAUUUUUCGAGGUUGUUCUCCUUCCUUAAUUACUCGUCCUUCUUUGUGAUAAUUUUCAGGCGUUUUGCAUAUGACCACAUC